CGACCUGAGAGGGUGACCGGCCACAUUGGGACUGAGACACGGCCCAAACUCCUACGGGAGGCAGCAGUGGGGAAUAUUGCACAAUGGGGGAAACCCUGAUGCAGCGACGCCGCGUGAGCGAAGAAGUAUUUCGGUAUGUAAAGCUCUAUCAGCAGGGAAGAAAAUGACGGUACCUGACUAAGAAGCCCCGGCUAACUACGUGCCAGCAGCCGCGGUAAU
rnacentral:rRNA from 1 species